rnacentral:rRNA from 1 species
GACGAACGCUGGCGGCGUGCCUAAUACAUGCAAGUAGAACGCACAGUUUAUACCGUAGCUUGCUACACCAUAGACUGUGAGUUGCGAACGGGUGAGUAACGCGUAGGUAACCUGCCUGGUAGCGGGGGAUAACUAUUGGAAACGAUAGCUAAUACCGCAUAAUAUUGAUUAUUGCAUGAUAAUUGAUUGAAAGAUGCUAUUGCAUCACUACCAGAUGGACCUGCGUUGUAUUAGCUAGUAGGUGAGGUAACGGCUCACCUAGGCGACGAUACAUAGCCGACCUGAGAGGGUGAUCGGCCACACUGGGACUGAGACAAGGCCCAGGAUCCUACGGGAGGCAGCAGUAGGGGAACUUCGGCAAUGGACGAAAGUCUGACCGAGCAACGCCGCGUGAGUGAAGAAGGGUUUCGGAUCGUAAAGCUCUGUUGUAAGAGAAGAACGGGUGUGAGAGUGGAAAGUUCACACUGUGACGGUAUCUUACCAGAAAGGGACGGCUAACUACGUG